AUUGAACGCUGGCGGCAGGCUUAACACAUGCAAGUCGAACGGUAACAGGAAAUAGCUUGCUAUUUUGCUGACGAGUGGCGGACGGGUGAGUAAUGCUUGGGAAUAUGCCUUAGGGUGGGGGACAACAGUUGGAAACGACUGCUAAUACCGCAUAACGUGCUUCUUAUAAUGAGGAGUACCAAAGAGGGGGCUCUUCGGACCUCUCGCCAUUUGAUUAGCCCAAGUGAGAUUAGCUAGUUGGUAAGGUAAAGGCUUACCAAGGCGACGAUCUCUAGCUGGUUUGAGAGGAUGAUCAGCCACACUGGGACUGAGACACGGCCCAG
rnacentral:rRNA from 1 species